AUUGAACGCUGGCGGCAUGCCUUACACAUGCAAGUCGAACGGCAGCACGGGAGCAAUCCUGGUGGCGAGUGGCGAACGGGUGAGUAAUAUAUCGGAACGUGCCCAGUCGUGGGGGAUAACGUAGCGAAAGCUACGCUAAUACCGCAUACGAUCUAUGGAUGAAAGCGGGGGAUCGCAAGACCUCGCGCGAUUGGAGCGGCCGAUAUCAGAUUAGGUAGUUGGUGAGGUAAAGGCUCACCAAGCCGACGAUCUGUAGCUGGUCUGAGAGGACGACCAGCCACACUGGGACUGAGACACGGCCCAGACUCCUACGGGAGGGCAGCAGUGGGGGAAUUUUUGGACAAUGGGCGGCAAGCCUGAUCCAGCAAAUGCCGCGUGCAGGAUGAAGGCCUCGGUU
rnacentral:rRNA from 1 species